AUUAGCUCAGUUGGUGGGAGCAUGGUGCUAAUAACACCAAGGUUUUGGGUUCAAUCCCCAUAU
rnacentral:tRNA from 1 species